GAGGAUAUAGCUCAGUGGUAGAGCACAUGCUUAGCAUGCCUGAGGUCCAGGGUUCAAUCCCCAGUACCUCCA
rnacentral:tRNA from 1 species